UACGUAGGGGGCAAGCGUUGUCCGGAUUUAUUGGGCGUAAAGAGCGUGUAGGCGGCCAAACAGGUCAGCUGUGAAAACUCGAGGCUCAACCUCGAGACGUCGGUUGAAACCGUUUGGCUAGAGUCCGGAAGAGGAGAGUGGAAUUCCCGGUGUAGCGGUGAAAUGCGUAGAGAUCGGGAGGAACACCAGUGGCGAAGGCGGCUACCUGGACCAGCACUGACACUGAGGCACGAAAGCGUGGGGAGCAAACAGG
rnacentral:rRNA from 1 species